UGUCUUUGAGGCGGGGAGUAUUUCCCCACCGGCGGUAUAGCCCGCGAGCUCUUCGGAGCAUGAUCCGGUCAGAUUCCGGAGCCGACCGUAUAGUCGGGAUGAGAAAAGAC
rnacentral:ncRNA from 1 species